rfam:Marine gamma proteobacterium HTCC2080 1100755000536, whole genome shotgun sequence.
GGGCCCAUAGCUCAGUUGGUUAGAGCAGUCGACUCAUAAUCGAUUGGUCGUAGGUUCAAGUCCUACUGGGCCCA